GCCUGGGUGGCUCAGUUGGUUAAGCGUCUGACUUCGGCUCAGGUCAUGAUCUCACGGUUCGUGGGUUCAAGCCCCGCGUCGGGCU
rnacentral:tRNA from 1 species